GCUGGGCGUGGUGGCGCACGCCUGUAGUCCCAGCUACUUGAGAGGCUGAGGCAGGAGAAUUGCUUGAACCCAGGAGGCAGAGGUUGCAGGGAGCCGAGAUUGCACCACUGCACUCCAGCCUGGGUGACAGAGUAAGACUCUGCCUCAA
rnacentral:SRP_RNA from 1 species